AAAUUUUGAUGUAAACAUGCAGCAGAAAAGUUGAGGCUGUUCCUGCCCCUUUCAGAUAUAGUCUGUUUUGGCAAUUCAGUCGAAAGUCUCAAGUCUCAUUUUCUUCAGAAAGGUACACUUUGGAAAAAAGCAAACUGGUAAAAAACUUUAUUUUUUCCUGGAAGAGAUAUUUAAGAAUUCUUAUACACCACAGCAGUGUCAACAGGAAGGACAGAGAACAGGUGAAGGCAGUCAACCCCUGAAUUGUUCUAGGAUAUAGAUUAAGUUCUCUUGAGUGCUUUUGUCAGAUUCAUUAUUUCCUGGCAGAAGAGAGGCAUGAAUUCACAUCUCCCGUAUGUAAAGUGUUCUAACAGCAUGACAAGGUGCUUAACAAGGGGGAUUAUGACAUCGUCUGUUCAUUGUUUCCAGGAGUGCCUUAUGGGCAGCAAACCUCAGCCACCAGAUACGGAGCAUAAAUCGAGGAGGAAAAAAAAAAGCCUCUUUCCAAAGGCUUUGUUCCUUAAAAUCAAUAGCAUUGAAAUGAGGAGGAGGAAUGUCAGAACACAGCGUCACAUGUCUCUGAUUUUUCUGAGCACCGAAUUCACAGGAGCUGCGUCUGUUGAACAUCCUUCAUGAGAUGAGUCCUUAAGUACACUGACAGUAGAAGAAAUGAACAAUUCUAAGCCAAACAGUUUGUAAACCUGUAGAGGUGAGCACAUUUUCAGUAACAGUGGUUUAGUGUAGCAGGGU
rnacentral:lncRNA from 1 species